rnacentral:rRNA from 1 species
AAUUUAACUUUUUAGUAAGAAGACUAAAAUAAAUCUUUUAGACAAGAAGACCCUAUAAAACUUUAUAUUUUGAAUUUUUAGGAGAAGUAAAAAAUAUUACACUGGGGCGGUGGAGGAAAAAUCUUUCUUUAAAUAAGGAAACUUAGCUGUUUGAAUAUCUUGAAUUUCUGAAAUAAGAAUAAGUUACUUUAGGGAUAACAGCUUAAUUUACUUUUAAAGAUCAAAUUGACAAGUAAGU